rnacentral:rRNA from 1 species
AUUCCAGCUCCAAUAGCGUAUAUUAAAGUUGUUGCAGUUAAAAAGCUCGUAGUUGGAUUUCUGGUUUGAUGCCCUGGCCCGCUUCAAAUUUUGGAGUGUGUGCCGGCUGUGCGUCUGCCAUCCUUCUAGAAAACGUUCGUACCCUUCACUGGGCCGCGUUCGAGAUCUAGAUCUUUUACUUUGAAAAAAUUAGAGUGUUUAAAGCAGGCAGUUGCUAUGAAUACAUUAGCAUGGAAUAAUAAUCUAGGACUUCGGUUCUAUUUUGUUGGUUUCUAGUACUGAAGUAAUGAUUGAUAGGGAUAGUUGGGGGUGCUAGUAUUGAGCGGCCAGAGGUGAAAUUCUUGGAUUCGCUCAAGACUAACUUAUGCGAAAGCAUUCACCAAGGAUGUCUUCAUUA